UUCCCUGCUCUCUUCUCCCUGAAGCUAACGUCUCUGAACAGACUGGAUUAAGUCCAAAGGACGCAAUUAAAUACUUCUUUGACCAGUGGGUUUUGCUGCAGGAAUGGAAGUGGCCGAACAGUGUGCGCAGGUCCAUACUUUGGUUCUUUUGUUGUCUCAUCUUGGUGCUAAGCUUCCUGCCUGGCUGCAGCGUCUCAGAUGGGAAUCACCUUUCUGUUGGUGGCCCAUGAUGAGCAACAGCCUGGAUGCUUCUUAGGAUAAGGUUUCAUGAAAUCUUGCAGCUGCCUGCAAAAGAGUAGACCCUUCACUGAGGAUACUAUGGUCUAAUGGUUCCCCUUUCAUUCACUUUGGUCAAUGGACAACCAGUCUGUAUCAUCAAAGAGGCAAAAUAUUAACCCAGGGGAAGACAAGAAGAAAUAAAAGUUUUGUUUAGUGAGCUGGUCUGGCUUGC
rnacentral:lncRNA from 1 species